rnacentral:misc_RNA from 1 species
CGAACUUGUACUCCACCGUCUCCCCGCCGCUGAGCUCGAGUGCCCGAACCCAGCCCUCCGGCGUCCACUCCAUAGGUACGUGAUCCUUCCACGACCCCAGCUCCUUGGCCGAGCCGACGACGGCCACAUGCUCCCCGAACUGGACCUGGUGAUCGAGCCGGAAGCGGAGACGUACUCUCCCCUGCUUCAUCGCGUCGUUACUCCUCUUCUCCGUAACUCUUUCGACGAAGGCGGCGCUGAGGCAGUGAAAGCGACGGCGGGAGAGGGAGAGGGAGCAGCAAUGGUGGUGGCUCGGUGUGGAGAAGCAGUGGGAGGGAAGGUGGAGGAGCUGGGGUUUGAUAGGGUGCUUACAGAGGAGUGGAUGGAGGGGGUG